rnacentral:rRNA from 1 species
AGUGAACGCUGGCGGUAGGCCUAACACAUGCAAGUCGAACGGCAGCACAGUAAGAGCUUGCUCUUACGGGUGGCGAGUGGCGGACGGGUGAGGAAUACAUCGGAAUCUACUUUUUCGUGGGGGAUAACGUAGGGAAACUUACGCUAAUACCGCAUACGACCUACGGGUGAAAGCAGGGGAUCUUCGGACCUUGCGCGAUUGAAUGAGCCGAUGUCGGAUUAGCUAGUUGGCGGGGUAAAGGCCCACCAAGGCGACGAUCCGUAGCUGGUCUGAGAGGAUGAUCGGCCACACUGGAGCUGGGACACGGUCCAGACUCCUACGGGAGGCAGCAGUGGGGAAUAUUGGACAAUGGGCGCAAGCCUGGUCCAGCCAUACCGCGUGGGUGAAGAAGGCCUUCGGGUUGUAAAGCCCUUUUGUUGGGAAAGAAAAGCAGCAGGUUAAUACCCCGCUGUUCUGACGGUACCCAAAGAAUAAGCACCGGCUAACUUCGUG